rnacentral:lncRNA from 1 species
UAGGAGAUCAAGUUCAAAUCAAAGUCCAAAAUCAAUUCUGACCGUCCGAUUAUGAUCGGCUCACAUUGUGGCCGUCCGAUCAUGCAAUUAGACAUCCCCAGGCUCCUGAUCAAAAUCAAAAAGCCCCUCAACUGUCUGAUCACGAUCGGCUCACUCUAGAGCCAUCGGAUCAUGCUUCGAUCCAUGCCAUCAUUUGUGAGCCACGACAAAGCGCAGUCCAUUGUGGACCGCGAUACCUAGACGGGCUUGGGCGCCUAUGCUCGUGGGCCGCAUGCAUGCAUGGGUCAACCCAAAUGGAGUCCGGAUGAAGAAGAUAUGCAUGAGGGAGCAGGUUGGGAGCAGCUGGUAUGAUCCAUAGGUCGUCGGAGGGGCCCACAGGCUGGUGCAGGCCAGAGGCGGCAUGGGCUAGGCUCGACAGCAUGCUGGCGCUGCUGGCAAAGAACAACAAUAGAGGAAAGAAUUCUAAUAGAGUUGGGGGUGAGCUGAGCAGGAACUACCUCAUACAAAUUAAAAAUAUUGACAAAGAAAGGAUGUACAGGA